rnacentral:rRNA from 1 species
AGAGUGAACGCUGGCGGUAGGCCUAACACAUGCAAGUCGAACGGCAGCACGGUAAGAGCUUGCUCUUAUGGGUGGCGAGUGGCGGACGGGUGAGGAAUACAUCGGAAUCUACCUUUUGGUGGGGGAUAACGUAGGGAAACUUACGCUAAUACCGCAUACGCCCUUCGGGGGAAAGCCGGGGACCAGCAAUGGCCUGGUGCUGAUAGAUGAGCCGAUGUCGGAUUAGCUAGUUGGUGAGGUAAUGGCUCACCAAGGCGACGAUCCGUAGCUGGUCUGAGAGGAUGAUCAGCCACACUGGAACUGAGACACGGUCCAGACUCCUACGGGAGGCAGCAGGUGGGAAUAGUUGGACAAUGGGCGCAAGCCUGAUCCAGCCAUACCGCGUAGGUGAAGAGGCCUUGGGUUGUAAACGUCCCUUUUGUUGGAAAAGAAAAGCUAUUACGGUUAAUACCCGGUGUU